UACGGAGGGGGCGAGCGUUGUCCGGAUUUAUUGGGCGUAAAGGGCAUGCAGGUGGAACUUUAAGUCAGUUGUUAAAUGAUGCGGCUUAACCGUGUUCUGCAAUUGAAACUGAAGUUCUUGAGUCCGAGAGGGGACAGUGGAAUUCCUAGUGUAGCGGUGGAAUGCGUAGAUAUUAGGAAGAACACCAGCGGCGAAGGCGGCUGUCUGGCUCGGUACUGACACUCAAAUGCGAAAGCAUGGGUAGCGAACAGG
rnacentral:rRNA from 1 species